GACGAACCACACGAACGUUAUUCGGAAUCACUGGGCUUAAAGGGUUUGUAGGCGGCGCUGUUAGUCGGGUGUGAAAUCCCAGGGCUCAACCCUGGAACUGCGCCCGAUACUGCAGUGCUUGAGGGAGACAGAGGUAAGCGGAACUGAUGGUGGAGCGGUGAAAUGCGUUGAUAUCAUCAGGAACACCGGUGGCGAAAGCGGCUUACUGGGUCUCUUCUGACGCUGAGAAACGGAAAGCUAGGGGAGCGAAGGGG
rnacentral:rRNA from 1 species